rnacentral:lncRNA from 1 species
UUCGUUUCGAUGAGAGGAUCACUAAUAUGUAUUCAAAUCAAGGUGGAUAUGAACUAUUUGGCCGGAAAUUGACCGGAAAGGUUUGGUGAAACCCAUUUUGGGUUUUCCGAUUCCGGUUAUUACAGUCGACGAGGAGGCCAUCAAAUGAAAGAGGAAGAAGAGAGGAGUCAUUUGGUACUCACCUUGCGCUCUAGGCUUGCCUGAAACGCCGUGAAUCGCCGGAAAAAAGUGUAACCACGGUGGCCGAAACUUCAAGCUCUUCCCCUUCAAAAUAGACGCAAUUUCAGUUCAAAUCUAAGCUAUAAUCUUCUUCCUUGCGUUGAGUAGAUGUUUUUAGAGUGUUCAUUUGCCGAAUUUGGUGGCCGGAGGACGGAGAUCGAAGGAGAGGGAGGAGGAGGAGGAGGUGAUGCAACUGGAGAAGGAGAAGGAAUAAACGAAGAGAAAGAGAAAGAAAAAGAAAAGAAAAGAAAUGGGCCGGUCCGGUUCGAUUCAAACCGGUUCGGUCCAAUUCAGUGAUUUGGUCUCAUUUCGUUUAGUUUUUGAGUUUUCCAAUCGAUUUUCGGUUCGGUUUAUCACAGUAUUUGAACUAAAAUAUUAAUAUAAUUUUCAAGCUGUCGAUUCAUUAAAUUUAAUUAGAAAAUUUUUGAAAAUAAAAAUUCAGGGUAUUACAGUUAACAACUUUUCUUUCUAUAUCAAAUGGUCUGUAGAUUGAUUAUAGAGGCAAGAAAAAUGAAAAACACUACAAUGGAAUAUAUAUAUAAUUAAUACACAUUUAAUAGACAAAAAUAAAAUCAACGUCACAAACUUCUCAAAAACUGCGUACAGAUGGAAGGUCAUAGACCUCAUAUAUGUGAAACAUCACAUGUCAAUUUUUCUUAAUCAGAUGAUAAAAUUACAUUACACAUAUAUAUAGCAAAGCACUAUCAAAUGACCUACGCGUUUAGAGUUUUUGGUCCCCGCAAGUUAAAGUUGGAAAACUUUUUAGGGUUUUAUUUUCUAGAAAUAAGGUUAUUAUAUUAAUUAGUUAUCAUACUUUGUUAACAAAAAGGCUAAUUGAUAGUGUGAGCAGAAAAUUAAAAAGAAAAAACAAAAGAAAAGAAAGGACAUUUUAUAUCUUUUUCCGUGUAAACUACCGGUAUCUAAAUCUCAUUAUUAGAGACCGCCUAAUCCAGUUUAAGACUUUAUCACAGUUAAAGCUUUUCGUCCCUCCUACAUCUGCAUUUAGUGAAGAUCAAAUUAGGUUAACUAAUGGUUUGUUAAUGCCAAAUAUUUUGAGAAAACAAAUAUUUCAUCCGUCUCAUUUUAUUUACAUGGUUUGACAAAACACGUGUAUUAAGAAUUUAGUUAACAAAAAUUAUUUCGUAACUUUUUACUCUUAACUGAAUGAAGAUAUUAAUAAAAAUCCAUUACUUAAUAAAGGAUCAUAAAUGUUAUCAUGAGAAAAAUAAUUGUUUACAUUUCUAAAUUUAGAAAACUUGCAAACAUUUUGGGAUAUCCAAAAAAAGAAUAACAAGCAAACAAAACGAGACGGAUGGAGUAUUUUUUUUAUUGAAACAUUAGUUAACAUGGUAGACUCUUAACAAAAUAUUAUUCUCGCGUGUACUUUUUGUUGACCAGUGGUAAAAUUCUAUAGUUGCACUAAAAUCAUUAGAUGAAUUGUGUGUUUUACUAAAAAAACAAAUUGAUAACUUAAAAUUUUCAUUUUAUAUUGAAACCACCAAUUGAAUCAAUGGUGUCAAUAAAAAUAAAAAUUAUUAUUUAUUUAUAUAAUUACUUUUUACUGACUACUUAUCAGUAUGAAUUACUUUUUCUAUUACACUGAAACCACCAACUCAAUUGGAGGUUUCAGUGCAACACUCUCUCUCCAUAUCAAGACAGACAUUAAAUUGAUAAAUAAUUUUAAUUUGGCAAUUAGAUUGAAAAUUAGUUUUUUGAAAAGAAUUAUUUUGUCAAGACCCCAUAAAAAAAGAACAUACUUCUCACCCUCAAUGGGUGAAAUUUGCAGCAAGCCACAAAACUUGAUGGAGUCUUUCUUCAUCUUGAACUAAAAACAUCAAAAUCUAUUGAUUUUCUUUAAGACACUCUUUUGUUUUUAUUUAAUUCAAAGAUUCUUUUAACACCUUUAGAUGCUCAUUAAACUAUUCAGUUCAUUCUUCACAAAAUGUCAUUUUAAAAGUUAGUACCAUAUACUUACGAUAGCCUUAUUAUUUAGUCGCUCAGUAAAAAUGCACUUUUUGAAAAAUGACUAAAUAAUUUAAAGAAAUUAAAUUUUAAGAGAUAAUCAUUAUAUUUAUUAAAUUAAAUUGCUUUCACCUAGUAAAUGAAACCAUUUAUACAUCAAAUCAAAUUAUCAUAUUUUUAAAACAUUAUAUUAUUUUAUUUUUUUAAUAAAAAAAUAAAAAAUAUCUUAUUUAAAUUAAAAAAUUAUUCUUAAUUAAUUUGAAGCAUGAAUAGACCGAAUAGUCAAGUCACUUCCCAAAAUAAAAUUGAAUUCCGGUUAACUUAAGAGUUUCAAACGAGGAAUCCAAACUAUGUCGUUUAGCUCUGGCCAAAGUUUUAUUGCCACGUGGUGAAUAGGUACAGUUUAAGGUGCCACGUCAGGGUGAAGGUCCAUCCACACCGUAAACGGUAUCAAUCUUGGCUACCAAGGAAUCUCUCUAUUGGUUGGGAACACAAUAGGUACAGAGCCAUCUUUCUUUAUAUAUAUGUGUAUAUAUCCAUACUCUCAUGUCUGCGCUGAGAGCUUCCCAUUAUCAAAACACACACUUUCUCCCUUCCACCAACUCAACAAUCAGUUUCUUCCCUGUUCUUUCUCUGCUCUGUUUUUAUUUUUGUUUCAAGAUUUUCAGUUACCGUAUCCAAAUCAUGGAGCUUACACCUUCUAAGCCUAUCAAACAGGAGAGAACUCUUCCUCCAAAAAGAGGGAGGAUUAAGAAGAUGAUAAUUAAGGGUAUUGUGAAAUCAACUUCAGUAGCAAUUGUUUCUGUUGGUAAGAAGCUCAAACGCAGUGGGAGAAGUUUCACUACCUCAAAUUCGUCGACUUCGUUUGCGAUUUCAAGUGGGUAUAACUCAGAUAGAACAUCUGAGUCUUGAUCUCUGAUCAAUUGGGUUUGUUUUGAUUGUUGUAUUAUACUGUAUAAUGUAUAGUAUUAGCCAUAACUGUACUCUUGAUUUUUUAUUUUCUUUUUGGUUUUCGCUAUCCAAAUUAGCCUACUCUGGUUUUUGGAUUCUGAAAUAAUUCUUUAAUUACUUUCUCUUUUCCCUUUCUAAUUGGUAAUAGAAGAUGAGAUUAUGUGGAGCUGGGUUAUUGGACUGCUUGUACUUAUAUUUAUACAUAUGCAUAUUAGUUGAUUUUGAGCAAUUUAAAUUGAUUAAUUGCAGUAUAAUGAAUUAGCAGUUUUCUUUUUGGAUAUUUCCUUUCUUCUGUUUUCCUACCCUUCCAUUCCUAGUUGAAAGACUGUUCAACCGUAUGAUUAAACCCGGUCGAACGUUAACCCAUUUAAAGAGCCGGGUAGAUGGUUUAAUCAAUGUGUCCAUACAAAUAUUAAUAUAUAUAUUAAUUAAACAUUAUUAAUUUAAGAUAAUUAAUGUAUCGGGCUAAUGCCAUUCCCUUUUUAUUAUUCUCGUUUAAGUAUUUGAAAAGGAAAUAUUUGUACCGGUGAGAUUUUAAAUUUGAGACCCACUUUUUGAUAAUCCCACUAGUGUUUUUUGGAAAGAAAAUUUCCACAUACUCCUUAAGUAUAGUUUUCAACAUGUACUAAUAGGAGUUUAUUACUAUUUCUUUUGUAUAAAAAAAAAAAUUUAUUAUUAAUAAAGUGUUGAUGAACGUGGUAAGUUAUCUUAUGAAAAAUACGUUUUACUGAGAGAAAAAAUCUUUUAUGCUCUACAAUUAUACUAAAAAAAAAAAUUUAUUUAAAAUAUAAACUAAUAAGGAAAGAUGAAAUGUUUGUUCUCAUAUUUGGUUGAUUUGAAAAAUAUUGAACUAAACUUUUAUCUUUAUAUUUGGCAUGCAAUAAAUUAAAAUUUUGUAUGAUUUUAUAUUUAAAUAAUAUAUCUAUUUGAAUAUUUAAAUAUAUAAUUUCUUCAUAUUUAUAUUUAAGACAAAAGGUACAAGUGUGAAACAAAAAUAUAUAAAAUUUACUAGUCAUGUCAACGAGUCAACAUUGAUGACAAAACAGCCAUGUAAUCAGUAUACUUCGUGUACAAGCUUCUUACUUGCCAGCUCACAAGCUUGAAUAUUAUUCAACAUAAACUCCUUUUAUGUUUUUCUAAAUAAAAUUGAUUUGAUUUCAAUUUAACAAGUCUAUUCAUAUAAUUUCAUUUUCUGUAUCUACUUAACUAAGGAAAUGCAUAGGGUUUCUAUAUUUCUCUUUUCCUUUUGGUUUAUCUAAUCUUAAUUUUUGUUUGGGACUGUUGUAUUAAUCAGCAAUAGCUCCCUAUUUAUCUUUUUUUUCUCGUUCCUAAUUUUUUUAUUUAUUUUUAAUAAACUCAGAUCUUUUUUUUUUAAUAUAUUUAUUUUUUCUUUAUUUUUUUUGUUAUUGUUCCUUUGUCUUCAUGUUUGGAGUUCUUUUGUUCCUUCUUCUGUGGGGAUUUAGUUCCUUUUUUUUUUGAGAAGGUUUAUUUUUAAAAGAUAUGAUAUUUGAUUUUAUUUGAUUAUAGAAUUUAGAUUUUGUUUUACUGAUGUGUAUCUUUCAUCAAUAGAAUCUGGUUGUGUGCCAAUCCUCCAUUGAUGCUAUUAACGCAUAGUAAUUUGAAUUCAUCUGUGUAAGUCAUACGCAAUAAAUUUUUGGAAAAACAAUCCACGCAUAGAAGAUUUGGAGAAGUUAUUUUAUUGUCCAAAUAAAUUAAAAGAACAGUUGCUACUAUGAAAAUUUAUAUCGGUCAAGGUUAUCUUUAAGCGAAAAAAAUCCAAUAGUGUUUCUUUUAGUUAUAGUUUUAUUAUUCAUAAGAAUAUAGAAAAUUCUUUUAUUGUUGAAAAAUCAGUGAACUUUCUAUUAAUUAUGAUAGUAAGUUAUAUAUCUGAUUGAGUAUUUAUAAUACUUGAUUUUAUUAUUAAUGAAUUAUAUUUCUUAAAAAAAAAAAACCUAAGGAAAUGCAUUAUUCUUACCUACCAAAUAGGUGCUAUAUAUAUCGAACUGUGGUGUGGUGAUUCUUGUCUUCCUUUCUCCUAUAAUUGGCUUUCGAAGUUGCAACCAUUAGGUUAAAAGAAAAAAAUUUAAGAGAAUGUAUGUUUUUAUCGGGAGCGAGCAAUAUGUUAGUUUCUAAUUAAAAAUUAAACCAAAUCGAUUCAUUUAAAUUGAAUUCAGAUAGUUGGUUUGGAAAUUCAUUGAGUUUAGAUAUAAAAAACUAUUUAACUUUAAAUUUAGAUUUGAUUGUUAACCAAAUUUAUUUUUAAGGCAAGUUAAUUUAGUUUGAAAAAAACCAAAUUUAAAUCGAGUUGUUGUUUGGAUUGUCCUUUUUAUUAUUAUGGUCCGUCCUUUAUUAUUAUAGUUUUAAAUCAAGUUAAUUUAUGUAUUUUGUGGCUGUAAGCAAAAUACAUGAUUUCAUUAUUCUGCAAUCUCAUGCAUUUGCCGUCAUAUGAUAAUUUAAAAUAGAAAUGUUACAUUUAUAAUCAAUAUAUCUCAUUUUUCAUCAAUUAAUAACAUGCCAAAUUUUAUUUUUUAAAAAUUUCCUUCAAAAUUUAGUAAUAAAAUAAUAAAAAUAUUUUAAAAUUCAAAAAAAAAAAUCAAAUCAUAAAUUGAGGAUGGAGAAAAAAAAAGAAUAAAAAUUAAUUAUUUUCUAUGUUUCUAUUUUUUAGUUUUGGAAUGAAAAUAUUUUUUAUUAUUUAAAAUAUACAAUUUGAUAUUUAUAAAUUUUUAUGAUAUAAACACAUCCUCAUGUGCUAAAUUAAUCUGAAAAUUAAUUUUGAAAUUUAAAUCAAAUCAAAUUUAAGAAUCGAAUUAAGUGUUUUUCCAAAUUUAGAAUCUGAUUUUGAUUCCUCUUUGAAAGUGAUUCCAUUUUUUUUUUAUUUCAACAAUAUAACUUUGUUUUAGCAUAUUCCCAUCUCUAUUUUUUUUCUUAGUUUAAUUUAAUUUAAUUUAAUUCAAAUCAAAUGAUUAAUUUAAUUCAAAUCAAAUUAUUAAUUUAAGCUUUCACUUGUCUGAUUCUUUUUUGCACGUUAAUCUUAUUGUCCUCAUUUGUCAAAAUUGGAAGCACAUUUUUGCUUCUAGAAUUGAAUUUAUUCUCCAAGUUUUAUUAAAUAACUGCUUAACACUUGCUGUUUGAGUUUUAAUCAGGCAGAAAAAAAAAGAAAGUGCAAUACACACAUGGAAUAUAGAUAAGACACGUUUGAUCAAAAUCAUAGGAAUUUAAAUAAAACAAUAUUAAUUCAUAUAUAUUUUUUGUACGCACGUUUCAUAAACGAUGUGGUAUGCUAAAAGAUUAGCCUCACGGGCCUUCAUACUCCGAACACAUAAAGGUCCAAUAGACUUUUCUUUUAUCAAAAUCUUAACAAUUUUGACAAAACAUGCUAAAUAUUUAACUAUAAAAUUAAGUUCAACUAUACAAUUCAUUUAAAAAUAUUAAAUUUUAUGUAAUUAUGUUGAAUAUAUAAAUAUAUUUUUAAAGGAGAAAUAGAUAUUUUUAUUUAUACCAAACAAUGAAACAAAGAAAUGCAAAUAAAUUUUAUAAAAAUGGAAUUCAUUUAUGCUAAAUGGAAUUUUCAGAAAAAGUUUCAAAUAUAAUUUUUCAAAAAUCAGUUUGAGACUCGAAAAAAAAAAAAUAUAUAUUGCAAAAAUGUAUACUGAUGGAACAAAAUUUAUUAUUUGUAAUAGUAGUACCAAACAGAUAAUAAUAGAAAGGAAAAAGGAAGAAGAAAUCAUAAGCCAAAAAAAAAAAAAAUCAAUUUUUAUUAGAGAGUUGAAAGUCUGCCUUUGACAAACGAAAUAGCAAGUCAAUGCUUGGAAAUUAGUUUCUCAAAUUCGCUGCUUACCUUUAACUUAUCCAUAAAUUACUAGUAAUUAUCCACGUGUACAUAUUCCAGCCUGGAAAUUUGAAUCAUUCUUUUCUUCUACAUUUUGAUUUUUGUAAUUUUGUUUGUGGAAAUCCUCCAUUAUCUAUUCAAAACUGACUCGUAUAAUAUGGCUAAACAUUGAUACAAUUAGGGUGGAGCAUCCAUCGGUUGGAUUUCAUUCUAGUUGGACUUGAAAUUUUUGUUUUUUUUUAAUUAAACCAAACCAAAAGAUUAAAGAUUUAUGAUUUACAAGUGAACGGUACUAAAUAUUUAAAUAAAUCAAACUCAAUUUUCAAAUUAAAAUAAUUCAAUUUGAUUUUUUCAAUCAAAAUCGAAUAGUGUUUACUUCAAAAUGUUAGACUCCAAAAUUAGGAUCGAUAGAUUUCGAUUUGACUGACCGAAUUAAUCAAAUAAAACCAAUUUAGUUUUUAGUCUAUUUCAUUUAGUUUUAAUUUUAAAAAGAAAAAAGUUGAAAUUUUUUUUUAUUCAGUUUUUUUAAUUAACAUAAAUAAUAAGCCCAAAAAUUAAUUUAAUCAAAUUGAACUAAUUUGAUAUGCUUAUGUAUAAAAAUUGAGUUGAUUUUUAUUUUUAUUUAUAAAAAUUUUGAUUUAUUUUCAGUUUGUAAUGAUUUGAUUGGUUGACUGAAUGCUCUGCUUUGCUCAAAGCAACCAUCCAUACGCUAAACAUCUCAAAACGACUACGUGUUUUUAACCUCAUUGUUCUAGAUUGGUUAUUCAUACGUAUCAUUAAGAAGUGCGUUGAGUAAUGUUAAAUUACAGCUCUAUGGUAGAAAGUUUCUCAAAAAGCAAAUAUUAGUAUAUAUUUGGUAAAAGAGUAAUAUCAACAAAUUAAAAAAAAAAAAAAAUCAAGGGACAUUGAUGGAUUGACUACUUUGAAAAUUGAGUAUCAAUAUACCAAAUCAUCAUAUCAAGCAAUUAACAAGGACAAAGUGAAUUGAAAAGAAGUGAUUUUCUACAAAGAAAUUGUCAAGUCAAAAAUGGAGAAAAAGAAAAUUUCCCAAUUUUGCAUCUAACCUUUAUGUAUCUCUUGGAGCAUUUUUCUACAUGUUCUCCCUUGGUAAGAUUUUCUUUGUGGUGAAGGAAAGGGAAUAUAUAUAUAUAAUACAAGGAUUAAGACAUUACCAAUUGCCAUUUCUCCUUGAAUUCUCCUUCCUAGAAGAUUUUGUAAAUGGACUAUUACUAAGUCAAGAACUUCUCUGUGUUUUGUAGAGAUUGGUCAAAGUUGGCCAAGUUGAAUUAUAGGUUUCUUAGCAUUGUUGUGUUUAUUUUUUAUUUUUUAUUUUAUAAUUGCACGAGUUAUCCAGGCUCAUGUAUGUUUUAACGGUCUAUAAAUCUGACUAAUCACCGCUCAUGCUCGGAGAUACAGGAGCUAGUCCGGGGGAGGUUGCUUUGCGGAAGAUCGAAUUCAUGACUUAACUCAUGGUAAUCAACUCCGCAAGUAAUUCUUAGCAUUGUUGUGAUUAUUGAAACAUAUAAACUUUUAUUAUUAAUAUUGAAAACCCACAACAGCACCACAUGGAUUUUAGGUUCAGAUUUGAUAUGUUAAAACUCAAUAAUAUUACUAAUAUCAAUUUUGAUUUAACAAUACAUAAUUUAAAUUCAAAGAUCUCUGAAAACACUUGUCAACAAGGUGAAUCCAAAUGCUAUUAUGGUCUAUUUAAACAAAUAAGUAUUUAUUUAAAUUUAAAUUUCAAGUGAAAUUAUAAAAGAAUAGACAUGAUACAAUAUUCUAAAUUCACAAUUAUUUCAAAUGACUAUCUAUUCAACUAAACCUUGUGAAAUCAAGUGCAAAAGUACAAUAUAUCAAUCCAUAGGGCAACUAGGGGUGUAAAUUAGUUUGGAAUAUACCAAAUUCAAAUUCAAGUUCCCAAUUAAAUUUCAAAUUGAAAUGAAAUUUUAGAAUAUAAAAUCUAAAUGAAAUAUAUUUUUUAAAAUAUUUGUAUAUGAAAUAUGAAAUGGAAACAUAAUAGAAAGUUCCAAUAUUCAAAUUCAUACAUCUAAUUUUUUUCUUCUAUGUUUAGUUUUAAUUAUAUAUUUUAUUAAUAAAAUAUUAAACUUGAGUAAAAUAUAUUUUCAAAAAUUUUUAAUUCAUUGGAGAGGAAUCAAACUCAAUAUAUUUCAGAUCUCACAUAAAUAAGAAGACCAACGAUACCACCACCUUAUUGGCAAAAUAUUUUCAAAUUUUAAUAUUAAGAAAACAAUCUUUUUCAUUCUAAAACUUUAUAGUUUAAUGAAAUACUUUAAUCUUAAUAACAAUUAAUAUAGGCUUGAAAAUCUAAGAAUCAAAAUAAAAAAAGUGAAGUUAACUUCAUUGAGUCAUAAAUUACAAGUUUUUCAUCACUCUUCUCUAAUUCCUGUCAAGUUAUCAGGAAAAAGUAUUAUUAUUUUCCUUUGUUGUAUUUGGCAAGAAAAUUUAUUUUUUAAUGAUCUACUUUGAAUUUUUUAAAAUAUUUUUAUUUGAAUUGCUCUUUUAAUAUUUUUUUCCCUUUUGAAAGGAUAUUUGUUUCUUUUAUUUUCUCAUUUAUCUUUCUAAUUUUCUUUUUUAGGGUUUUAUUGUAUCUAUUUCAUGAUUGCACCAAUUUUUUAUUUUUUGUAUUUUUUUUUACUUUAUUGCUAAUAAACUAGAAGGUUCUCAAGUGAAGUUAUUAUCCCCAUUCCUCAGUUUCAAGCUUGAAUUUUUAAUUAUAUGAAAUAUUAAUUUGUUGUUUAUUGCAACUUAGUUUAUGAAAUAUUAUUUAAUUUUUAAUAUAUCAUAAUAGACUAGAUUUGUAUUUAUAUUUUCAUAAAAUGGUAUGAAAUAAAAUUUAAAUUUUAAAAAAUAUUUGAAAUGCAAUAAAAUUUUAAAUUUCAAAACAUUUUAGAAUGGAAUUGAAACGGUUAUCAUUCCAUCCACACUAACCGAAUUACACCUGUAACGGCAACUCAAUUUGAGCUUCAAUUUCUUGUUAGUUGCCGUUCUGUUGAGGCUGUUUUUGUGUUAGGCCCAUUACUUACCAUUCGGUUAUGGCACUUUGGGCCUGAACCUAUAUUUUAAGGGUGUGCCGUGUGCGUUGCAAUGUUUCUUUUCCUUUUUUUGGAUAAAAAAAUAUACAUAAAAUAAAUAAGUAAAUAAAUCAAAAGAAUAAUAUCAAACAUAAGUUAAAUCUAAACAUUCUGCAAAUGGGUUUAGGUACCAUCAACCAAGAAUCAUUGAUGAAUAAACAGUUUCAACAUCAUUUGAUGCAGGACGGUUACGUGAAUGGAAAAUAACGAUUAUACUCCGUUAGGAAUUUUGAUCAAUAUCAUUUGAUUUGACGAAGGAAUUAGAGAAUUAAACUUUCAAAAAAAUUUAUUGAGUAUGAAUAAUGCUCAAAGAAUAAUUGCCCACCAAAAUAAGAAAAAUAACCUAUUUAUAUGUUUAGGCUAAAAUAUAAAAAACCCUAAAAAAUAACACAAAAGUCGUAACUGGACAAAACCUAGCAAGGUCGGCCGCACGGGCAUGCUUGGUGUGACACGGGCGUGCUUGGUAUGACAUGAGCGUGCCGACGCUCGAAACGUUACUGGACUCAUCGGCUUCGGCAUGGGCGUGCUUGACUUGGUAUGGGCGUGCUUGGACUUCCAGAGGCUAGCACGAGCAGGCUGGCUGUGACAUGGGCGUGCUUGUGCUUCUUAGGCUUGGGUGUGUUUCGCAUCCUGGACUAGAGGCUGGCACGUGCGUGCUAGAUAUGGCACGGCCGUGCCCCUUCUUUUAGGUUUGCAGCGAUCCAAAUCAUCCAUAUAUUGACGUGUAAGUUACUCCGCAUCAAUCCCCCUCCCCCCACUUUAAAAGAACUCGACCUCGAGUGAUCAUCAUCGGGGUAGAAAGGGAAUAAGUCAGCAACAUUGAAGGUCCUGGAAAUCUUCAUGUCUUCGAGCAGGUCAAUCACAUAGGCAUUAUCCUUGAUAUGCUUAAGUAUCUGAAAUGGCCCAAUCUUUUUUGAAUCAAGUUUCUUCUGUCCUCCACCACAUUCCUUGCAAAGAUACACCAUAACCCAAUCACCCUCAAUAAAAGAUUUAUAACAUCGGUGUUUAUCAACUGCAGCCUUAUAUUUUUCAUUGGCAGCAGUGAUGAAUGGCUGCACUUGCUUGAACACCUCCACAUGCUCGGUAGCCAAGUUAUUAGUUGCAAUACUCUUCUCUACACAUGCUGGAAGGGAAAGGAGGUCAAGAGUAUGGGCUGGUACCUUCCGGUAGACAAUUGCAAACGGUGACAUCUUGGUGGAGCUAUGGAUAGCACUGUUCUAAGCAAAUUCUGCUUGGGCAAGAGUAAGAUCCCACAUUUUCUUCUUCUCACUGCAAAUGCACCUAAGGAGAUUACCAAGAGUCCGGUUCACUACUUCAGUUUGACCAUCAGUUUGGGGGUGAGCGGUACUGCUGUAGUGAAGUUGAGUGUUAAAUCCUUCCAUAAAGUGUCCAAAAGUGAGCUAGAAACUUUGUGUCUCGGUCAGAUGUGAUGGUUUUAUGAAUGCCAUGCAACCGAACAAUCUCCUGAAAGAAUAACUUUGCUAUGUGAGAGGCAUUAUUAGUUUGCCUGCAAGGAAUAAAAUGUGCCAUCUUGGAGAAUUUGUCAACAACAACAAAAAUAGAAUCGGCCCCAAGUUGAGUUCGAGGUAAACCCAACACAAAAUCCAUAGAUAAGUCCUCCCAAGGUUGUUCCAGUACAGUCACCGGAGUGUAAAGACCAGUGUUUUGAGAAUGGCCCUUUUGUGUCUGGCAAAUUGAGCAUUUUUGGACUAGCUUCCCUGCUUCCUUUUUUAAUUGUGGCCAAUAGAAACGAGCCUCCAACCCCGCAAUCAUUUUAUCUCAUCCCAAAUGUCUGCUCAAUCCUCCACCAUGGAUUUCUCAGAUUAAUUACUCCCGGAGGGAAGACUGAGGGAUGCACAGUCUGUUUUCCUUGAAUAAAUAUCCGUCAUGAACCAAGAACCCGCUAGUAGGCUAUUUAACAUCAAUUUUUGCCCAUAUGUCAGUAAAAUCUUCAUCCGAUGCAUACAGAUCUUUAAGAAAUUCGAACCCCACAAUCUCUUGCCUAAUUAAUCAAUAAGGCUACUUUCCUGCUCAAAGCAUCCGCUACGGUGUUACAAGUACCUGAUUUGUGUUUAAUGACAUAAUGAAAAGCACCAAAAUAAGUUACCCAACGCACAUGCAUCUUGCUCACUUUCUUCUGAGUUUGAAAAUGAGUUAAGGCCUGAUGAUCAGUGUAGAUAAUGAACUCACACCCCUACAAAUAAUGUUACCAAGUCUUGAAAGCUCAAAAAACUGCAUACAAUUCUUGCUCAUAAGUGGACCAUUUUUGUCUAACUUCAUUCAAUUUCUCACUAAAGAAUGCAAUAGGCUUUCCAGAUUGCGUCAAAACACCACCAAUUCCAAUCCCACAAGCAUCACACUCAACCUCAAACAGCUUAUCAAAAUCAGGUAAAGCAAGAAUAUGGGUGGAAGUAAGCUUAUCUUUGAUCUUUUCAAAGCUUUUGUUUGCAGCUUCGGUCCAUACAAACUGACGAACUCUCUCUUUCUUCAAAUAGUCAGUGAUAGGAGUGACAAUGCUGCUAAAGUUCCUGAUGAACUGCCUAUAGAAAGUAGCAAGUCCAUGAGAGCUGCGAACUUCAGUGAUGUUCUUGGGAAUAGGCCAGUUUCGGAUGGCCUCAAUUUUUCUGUCCUCAACAUGAAUUCCUUCCGGGCUAACAAUAUAGCCAAGAAACAAAAUUCGUUCUGUCAAAAAACUGCACUUCUUAAGGUUGAUGUACAACUCGUUUUUCUACAAAGCAUCCAACACGUGUCGAAGGUGCUGAAGGUGUUCUUCCUCACUGCGACUGAAAAUUAGGAUGUCAUCAAAAUAAACAACCACAAAUUUGCGCAAGAAAGGACGCAAAACCUGAGUCAUAAGUCGCAUGAAUGUGCUCGGUGCAUUUGUCAACCCAAACGACAUACCUAACCACUCACAUAACCCUUCCUUAGUCUUAAAUGUAGUCUUCCAUUCAUCUCCCUCCUUGAUUGGAAUUUGAUGGUACCCGCUGCGAAGAUCUAUUUUAGAAAACACUAUAGAUCCUAACAGUUGGUCCAACAUGUCCUCCAGUCGAGGAAUAGGGAAUCGAUACUGCAACAUGAUCUUGUUGAUGGCUCUACUAUCCAUACAAAUUCGCUAAGUCCCAUCCUUCUUUAGUUCCAAUAAAGUAGGAACUCAACAAGGACUAAUGCUCUCCCGGAUAUGUCCCUUCUUCAAUAAUUCUUCUACCUAUUCUUGAAGAAUCUGGCUCUCCUUUGGGUUCAUCUUAUAAUGGGGUAGGUUUGGUAUCUUUGAUCCAAGGAUAAAAUCAAUCUGAUGUUGAAUGUCCCGCAAAGGUGGAAGCGUAGAUGGUUAUUCAACUACGGCAUGAAAUUCAUCCAGCAACUCCUUGACUGUGGUGGUACUAGUGCCUCUUCAUUAGAGUCUGUCUCUGGCUUGAUCAACAAUGCCAACGCACCUUCGGACUUCUCAAUUGCACUAGAUAAUUCUUGCACAUCGGAAGAAAUAGCUACUAUGGAUUUCCCCUCCACUUUAGAAGCUUUGGCAGAAGAUCCAGAAGGUAAGACAAUGAUUUUCUUAUUUUUCCAAGUAAACAUGUAUGAAUUCUCCCUUCCCUUGUGCAAUGCAUCUACAUCAAACUGCCAUGGUUAUCCUGACAGUACUCCACAAGCAUCCAUAUCCACAACAUCAUAACUAACGGAGUCUGAGUACGAUUUUUCCAUUGAUAUAGGAACCUUACAAAUCCAGUUUACUUCAAUCAUUGGACCCUCUUUAAUCCACCCUAUCUUGUACGACGAAGGAUGUGGUUCUGUGGGUAAAUUUAGCUUUUCAACUAGUUGUUUGCCUAUCAAAUUUUCAUAACUACAAACUGUCAAUAAUGAGUCGGCACACCGCAUCACCAACCCGACAUUUAGCCUGGAAAAUUUUUCUUGAUUGAGUGUCGCUUUUGUAGUUUGGAGAACACAAAAUUUUCUGAACGACAUAUGUAACUUCUCCAUCUUCAGAACUAGCCACGGAUCCAUCAUCUUCGUCUUCUAACUCUUCAACCUUAGUCAAUUCAUCAACUACAUUCACCCGUCGACACCCAUCAUUAGCUCCCCUACGUUCUGGACAUAUAUUAGAUGUAUGCCCCUGUUUUCUACAACGGUAACAAUAGUCUCCAGUUGGCUUCUGAUACGGAUUCAGUUUGUUGUUUCUAUCUGUCAAGGAAGCCUUUCUCCGGGAGUCUUUCUUUUCUUCUCUUGUGAGCUGUUGUGAACUCUGGUUAUUGGCGGGAGUGGCUGCUCUUGAGUUCUGUCCACCAGAAUUUCUAUAGAACUGCUGAUUUUCGGAUGAAUAGGGUUCCCUAAAGUUCUGGUUACGAUUAACUGAUUGUCGCGGCAGCCAAUUAAUUCCAUCUUCCACUCAUUUGGCCAUCUCAAUCGCAUCUGCCAAGGUGAAAAUCGCAGCUACACCCAUCAUACACAUUAUAUCAUGACUCAAUCCCCACUGAUAAUGAGUCUCUUGCUGGGAUGCAGUUUCACAAUUGUCGCAUCGUGCCUGCAAUCUCAAAAACUCUUCCGUGUACUCAUCCACCUUUCAGUUUCCCUGGAAACAGUCAUGGUACCUGUUGUACAAUAUUUGAGAGUGAUCAUUGGGAAGAAAACGUUGCUCAAUCAAUUGUUUUAUUAAAACUCAAUCUCGCACAGGUUCAAUCCUUCGACGAUGACAUUCGUUUUGAAUAGAAUGCCACCAUGCUGCUGCACCGCCUUUCAGUUUAUAGGCCACAAUGGAAACUUUACGUUCAUCCUCGACAUUCAUGAUCUCGAAGAAUCAUUCAAUCUCCGCUAGCCAGUCAAGAAUACUUUCUAUGUCUAGCGAUCCUGAGAAGGGUUGAAGGUCUACUUUUAUCUUGUAUCCUUCAUGAAAAUUGCAGCCAUUGCCUCUAUAAUCUCGGCCUCCAUCAUAACGAUUUUGGCAUCUUGCAUAAUCUGGUUAUGGUGGUUUCAAAGCUGCAAGUUGUGGGUUGCCUUGUUGGAUUGCGAGAGUCAACUGUCUAAUCUGUUCGGUUAACUCUUCAAACCUCACCUCUAUGGCUGUGAGUCGUGUCUCAUGAUUGUCGACCAUGGAGAUACUUCACCUUUCGGCUCUGAUACCAACUGACGCAGAACGGUUACAUGAAUGAGAGUAACGAUUAUACUCUGUUAGGAGUUUUGAUCAAUGAUGUUUGAUCUGACGAAAGAAUUAGAGAAUGAAACUCUCAAGGAAGUUUAUUAAGUAUGAAAAAUGGUCAAAGAAUAAUUGCCUAUCAAAAUAAUAAAAAUAACAUAUUUAUAUGUUUAGGCUAAAAUAUAAAAACCCUAAAAAAAUAACACAAAAGUCAUAACUGGACAAAACCCUAGCAAUGUCGGCGGCACGGACGUGCUUGGACUUCUAGAGGCUAGCACCUGCAUGCUUGGACUUGGCACGGGCAUGCUUGGACUUCUAGAGGCUAGCACAGGCAGGCUAGCUGUGACACGGGUUUGCUGGUUGUGACACGGACCUGCUUGUGCUUUUUAGGCUUGAGUGUGUUUCGCAUCCUAGACUUCCAGAUGCUGGCAUGGGUGUGCUAGAUAUGGCACGGCCAUGCUCCUUCUUCUUAGGUUUGCAGCGAUCCUAAUCAACCAUAUAUUGAAGUGCAAGUUGCUCCUCGUCAUCAUUAGAUUGCUAAAUGUAUAUUUUAACAUAAGCAACAAAUUGCAAGAUAUUGUCUCCCUGUCUUAAUAAGCUGCCAAUUCACUCCGAAUAAGUAAAGACAAAAUAUGAUUGUCAAUAAAUAAUUAGUUUAAAAAAUGGUAUUUGCCUCAAAUUGCAAGAUCCUGUCUCCCUAUGUUCUGUUCACAAGCUGCCAAAUCACUGUAAGGUGUAAACAGUAAAGCCAAAAAAAUAAUUUUAGGUGACUACAAUGCAAUAUUACAUAGAGCUAAGGUUGGAGAUUCUGGUUUUCAUUACAACAUAUUUUAGAUACUGAUCCUGAUAUAACAAGAACAGAACAAAUUUGCAAUAUGUGGAAUAAAUUCCGUUAAAAUUAAAACAUAUCUGCAAGAUAAAACCAAAUCAAUUUACUCCAUCUCGUUCAACCUUUCUUGAUUUCUGCAAUGAAGUGCUAACAUGUAUAUUAUCCAUGUAAACCAAACGAUUCCAUCGGUAUAAUCUAAUUUCAACAUCGAACUAGGCCCAUUUUACAAUAUCAGAUUUGUCAUAUUACAAAUGUACUUUUUUCAGAUUACCGAACCAAAGCAUUUCCUUGUAUUUUUAUAAACAGAAAAACAAAUUGGCUCUAGUAAAGCUAGGAUGUGGAUUUCAUAUCUUUCUACAAGUAAAACCUUAGCAAGAAUUCCCAUUUUCCUCUCUUUCUUUCUCCUCUUCUCUACAAUAACUUCAGAUGACUCCAUUGCUAUCCUAGAACUAGCAAAACAUCUAAAUCCAACUCCAACAGGUUGGUCAACAAAUAACUCAACUAACUAUUGUUCAUGGCCAGGCAUCACAUGUGAUCCCUCCAACCAUGUCACCAUAAUUUCUCUCUGUGGUAGGAAUCUCUCUGGUACCCUCCCAUCUGAACUCUCUACUCUGUCCAAGCUACAAUACCUUAAUCUUAAAAGUAAUCGUCUCUCCGGCCCCAUCCCUUCCCUCGCUAAUCUAAGUGACCUCCUAGAUGUAUCUCUUGCUUCCAACAACUUCACUCGUAUACCUCAGGGCUUCUUCCAAGGACUAACUGCAUUGCAAUUUUUCAUAAUUGACGAGAAUCUUAAUCUAGCUCCUUGGUCUAUGCCUACUGAUUUGAGUCAAUGUACAAGCCUAAUUACAUUCAAUGCAAGAAAAACAAAUCUUGAAGGAAAUUUACCUGAAAUAUUUGCCUCCCUUUCUAGUUUGCAGCAUCUUAUCUUAUCUUUCAACAACUUGAGAGGAGUUUUGCCUGCGUCUUUUCGAAAUUCGGGAAUUCAGAUAUUGAAGCUGAACAGUCAGAAAAAAAAGUUAUCAGGUAAUAUCAGUGUAUUAUCAUCAAUGACAAGGUUACAGAAGGUACGGCUCCACGAAAAUAAGUUCACAGGUCCAAUUCCAGAUUUAUCAGAAUGUGAUAUUUUGUAUGAAUUGCAGCUAAGAGAUAAUCAUCUUACAGGAAUUGUGCCUGCCUCAUUGAUUUCACAUCCUAAUUUGAGAUGUCUUUCCAUAUCAAACAACAAAUUGCAAGGUCCUAUACCUGUUUUUCCAAAGAAGAUCAAGGUAGAGAACAAAGGGAAUAAUAAUUUCUGCUCCCGCAAAGCUGGAGAUACCUGUGAUCCACAGGUGACUAUAAUGCUGGAAAUUGCAGGUGCUUUAGGGUAUCCAAUGAACUUGUCAGAUUCUUGGCGAGGCAAUGAUGCUUGUAAGAAUUGGUCAUUUGUUACUUGUGAUGAAUUCAAUAGGAUAAUAUCAGUAAAUUUGGGGAAGCACAAUUUUGUAGGCAGAAUAUCUUCAGCAUUUGCUGAUCUUAAAGUAUUAAGGAGUUUAUAUUUAGAUGAUAAUAAUCUGACAGACCCAAUACCUGAUAGCUUGACAAACUUGACAGAACUUCAGGUUCUUGAUGUCUCUAAUAACAAUCUAACCGGAACAAUCCCGGAUUUUGCUUCUUGGGUCAAAUUAAUUGCUACACCAGGCAAUCCACUUCUCAAGUAUAGAAUUUAUAAUCUCAAUACAUCUAGAACAAUAUCACCAUUAGAGAUAGUCAUUCCCCUGAUUGUAAUUGUCUUAUGCAUUGCUUUUUUCUUGUUCAAUUAUAUUAUGAAGAAAAAGUACAGAGAGUCUGGGAGAGUGAAGGACGAGGAAAAGAAGGGAAAUGUAUCAGAUAAGAAUGAGAAAGGCUGUUUUAGAAACCCGAAAGAUGUUCUUGCUGAAAUAAAAAGCAGGGAUAACCAUAAAGAUGGAAAUGUUGUGAUUACAAUAGAAGUUCUUCGACAAGUAACUGAUAAUUUCUGUGAAAGUAAUAUUUUAGGUAGGGGAGGUUUUGGUGUGGUCUAUAAAGGGGAAUUGCAUGAUAAGACUAAGAUUGCUGUGAAGAGAAUGGAAACUUCAGCAAUUAGUACAAAGGGAAUGAAUGAGUUUCAGGCGGAGAUUGAAGUACUUACUAAAGUGAGGCAUAGGCAUUUGGUUGAUCUUUUGGGUUAUUGUAUAAAUGGAAAUGAAGGAUUUCUAGUAUACGAAUAUAUGCCACAAGGAACUCUAGCUCAACAUUUAUUCGAAUGGAACGAGCACGGUUACCUUCCUCUUACUUGGCAGCAAAGAAUUAGUAUUGCAUUGGAUGUUGCUCGAGGGGUGGAGUAUUUGCACCGAUUGGCUCAACAGAGUUUCGUCCAUAGAGAUUUGAAGCCUUCAAACAUACUUCUGGGAGAUGACAUGAGAGCAAAGGUUGGAGAUUUUGGAUUGGUCAAACAUGUUCCUAAUGAAAAUUAUUCAUUCGAGACAAAAGUUGCAGGAACAUUUGGAUAUCUUGCACCUGAGUAUGCCGGUAAGUGUGCAAAUUUUUGUUCAAGUGUCUGUAAUUUUUUAUCGAAUUUCUACUAAUUUUAUUCAACUGUAACAUGAACUUAUAUAGUAACUGGAAGAGUGACAACAAAAGUGGAUGUGUAUGCAUUUGGAGUGAUUUUGAUGGAGAUGAUAACAGGAAGAAAAGCUAUAGAUUAUACAAUGGAAGACAAAGGAUGGAUGUUUAUGCAUUUAGUGACAUGGUUUCACAGUUUCAUAAUCAAGAAAGAGAUCCCAAAAGCAAUAAUUGAUGAAACUCUGAAUCUUGAAGAGGAAAAUACCUUAUUGAGCAUUUGCAAAGUAGCAGAACUAGCAAAGCAUUGCACAAAUCCUGAAAAAUGUCAAAGACCUGACAUCGGCCAUGUAGUGAGUUUCUUGGCACCUCUUGUAGAAGACUGGAAACCUGCAAGCCAAAAACAGCAACAAACAUCUGGAAUCAAGAUUAAUCUAUUUUGUAGUUCUAUAAAUUUUAAUAGCAAGUCUGGUUUUCAGACCCAAUCAAGUGGUUCUAAUGUAUUUGUAACUCCAAGGGAAAGCCCAAUAAUUAGUAAUUGAAGGGGAAAAAAAAUAUUUCUUUUCCAUCAAAAAAGAAUGACUCAACUUUAAAAAUUUUAGCUUGAUUCAUCGUUUAUGAUAAAGGCUCAAGUUAUGUUAGGGAUGAACAUCUAUUCAACCAAAUCAAGUCGAGCUAAAUUGAAAAUUUUUACUUUCUUGAAGGAAUUUAACUAAAAAUUUAAACUGAAUUGACUAAAAUAGUAUCGAUUGAAUUCAAUUUUUAGUUUAUAUCGAAGUUUUAAACUUUAUACCUAUAAAACAGGCUAAAUAUAUCUAUAAUAAUCCAUCCCACCUUCAAAAUGUACCAUAUCAAAAUAUCAAGAUCAAUAAUACCAAAAUAAAAUAUUUUCAAUAAACUUAAUAUUUUAAUAGUAACAAAAUAAUUAUAAUAAUUAAUACGCCAAAUAAGAAAAACAAUUUAGAGUUAAAUCUCAUCUGAUUUUGUUGGCAUGGAGUUUAGGACUUCUAAUUUCGGUGGAGAGUAGAGGGUUGAUUUUUGAAAAGUUAACCUUUCAUAAAAAAAAACUAUUCGAAAUAUUUAGCUUUUAACGUUUUAUAAAAAAACUACUUGAAAUAUUUAGCUUUUAAUGUUCCGCAAUAUUAAUUGUUCGUUUGACACUUUAUUUACAAAUUUUCAGAGACUUCUAGACUUCAAUCAAAUCAUUAUUUUUCUAACAUUUCUAUUCAGAAGAUCCAGUUGAGAGGAUUUGAACAAUCAGAAAUUUAUCAGUUCCAGCAAUACUAUGGCAUUAUUCGAAUUUCGCUAACCGUAAUUCUCAAGAAAUAUAAUGAUUUAAAGAUGAGAUAUUGAAAAUUAACUUUUAAGAAAAUAUUUUUCUUAGAAAAUUUUUUUAAAAUGUAACUUAUUUUUCCGUUUUUUUCUCUCCGAUUUCUGGCGAUUGACUUUUUUUGGGGAGUCGCGAUUAUUUCACUGUUGAUUGUCCAUUAUUCCCUUCAUUUGCUGUAGCUUUCCAGCCAGUGGAAAGCACAAAUGUGGAAGUGAAAGCAACUUCCACUCUCUUCUCCUUCCCAAACAGCUUCUUAGUUGCGGAGAAUUUUAUGGGAUUGAAUAUUUUCUUUAGGUAGUUAGUAGUCAACAUCCUUUUGAACAAAAAUAAAGAAUAAAAUAGAAGCUUGCUCCUCUCAGGGGAGAAAAAGAAAAUAGAAAAAAAAGAAAAGAAAAACUUGAACUUUAUUAGUCAAUAUUCAAUAACAGUAACGCCCUUUUGGCUCUGGUUCACACAUGCAUUCAAAUUUGAAAGUUCAAAAAGAGAUCUAACAAAGAAAAUUCCCCCACAAGAACCAAAGUAUAGAGAUGAUAGAUCCCAUUCAGACUGGGCCCUCAUUUCCAUGUCUCUUCCCUUUAAGCUCUCAACCAUUACUUUUCUCAUGAAAUCAAUGUUAGUAAUAAACCUCUAUGUGCUUCUCUGCUUUAUUUUCUCUUUGUCAAAGAAUAUACACCCAUAACAUAACUUAGAAAAGUAAGCUCUGUUUUUCUUUUUCUCUCCCCUGUGUUUUGAAACACUGUAACAGAGAACAAAAUGGAGAAUGAAUCAGUGGUGAUAGAAGGAAGAGGAAUCCCAUUGUACGGUGGGAGAUACUUGCAGUAUAACAUACUGGGUAACCUUUUUGAGGUCUCCUCUAAGUAUGUUCCUCCUAUACAACCCGUCGGCCGCGGCGCAUACGGUAUCGUUUGGUAAUUAUCUGUUGCUUUAAACCUCAAGAAUUCUAAUUCUGUAUUCUGAUAACAAAUGGGUUUUCUUCAUUUUUAUCUAUUUAUUUGGAAUUUGAAAGUAAUUAUUCUUGCUGUUUGGUUACCUCAAUAUAAGAGUAAGGAUCUGAGCUUUGCUGGUGGAAAAGAAAUUUUGGGGAAUUAAUUUUUAUGUGCAAUAUUUGAUUUUGAUUUUUGACUUUAAAAUUUUCAUUUAAAAUAAAACUAUUCUAUGAAAUUAUUGUUUUACUGGGCUCAAAAGGCUAUUAGUAGAUUAUCUGUCCUGUAAUGCAGAAUUUUUAGUUGCAUAUAAUUGUUUCUCUAUAUAGUGAUCCUUGUUGAUAUUUGUGGUUGAUGACUUGAUGCUUAUGAAUUACACACAAUUUCUUUGUUGCAGUUGUGCUAGAAAUGCUGAGACAAAAGAACAAGUUGCUAUUAAGAAGAUUGGGAAUGCAUUUGAAAAUAGAAUUGAUGCCAAAAGAACACUUAGAGAGAUCAAACUCCUAUGCCAUAUGGAUCAUGAAAAUGUACUCUCUUUUUUGCAAUUUAUUUAUUGAUAUUACUAUAAGUGUUUGUGCAUAUCAUUCUAGUAAUUGUGACUAUGACAAGUUCUGCUAAUAAUGGCAAAAUCUUGAAGUAUUGAUGACUAUAUUGCACUUGGUAUUGUGUAGAUUAUCAAAAUUAAAGACAUAAUGACACCACCGGAGAGGGAAAAUUUCAACGAUGUGUAUAUUGUCUAUGAAUUGAUGGAUACUGAUCUCCAUCAGAUAAUACGCUCUAGCCAGGCAUUGACUGAUGAUCACUGUCAGGUAAGACAACUGGAUCCAUUUUCCCUUGUGCAAACUUCUUCUUACUAUAUCUGACUGAAUGGUUUGACUUCAGUAUUUGUGCCCUAAAAUAAGAAACUUUAAUUAGGUAAAAUUGGAAUUUUGAUAUGUUAUCACCUUAUUUUGUUGGGAUAUGUUGGGAGGCUGAACAGAUCACAGUCCUCAUCAUUUGAACUGUGCAACAUGUCUGUGUGUGUGUGUGUGUAUAUAUAUAUAUAUAUAUAUAUAUAUAUAUAUAACCAUUAGAGGUGAAAUUAGUCUUAUAAUUUUUGUUUACAGGUAGAAGGCACUUGAUGCACUGGUAGGGAAAAAUAUAUGAAAGCAUUAAUGUAGUUGUUGGUAAAAAAUUGAAUUAAGCUGCAACUUAAGUACCUACAAUGUUAAAGAGAUUUUUUUUGGCAUUGGCAGUAUUUCUUGUAUCAAUUGUUGCGAGGACUGAAAUACAUACAUUCUGCAAAUGUUUUACACCGAGAUUUGAAACCGAGCAACUUGCUCCUCAAUGCAAAUUGUGAUCUUAAGAUAUGUGACUUCGGGCUUGCAAGAACCACCUCAGAGACUGAUUUCAUGACUGAAUAUGUAGUAACUCGAUGGUAUCGAGCACCAGAAUUGCUGCUCAACUGUUCAGAGUAUACUGCAUCUAUUGAUAUUUGGUCAGUUGGUUGUAUUUUCAUGGAAAUUCUUAGAAGGGAGCCUCUUUUCCCGGGUAAAGACUAUGUCCAGCAGUUGGGGCUUAUAACUGAGGUAGGUAUUGUUUGAAGGAAUGUGACUAAAAGUUACAAUUUUUUAUUAAACCUCAAAUUUCUCUGAUGCUAAUGAAUUAGUCUUUAUACUUUUCUUGAUUAUUCCCAAAAUAGUUGCUAGGUUCACCAGAUGAUUCAGAUCUUGGAUUCCUUAGAAGUGAUAAUGCACGGAGGUAUGUGAAGCAGCUUCCACAUUUCCCUAAGCAACCUUUUUCACAAAAGUUCCCAGAUGUGUCUCCAGUUGCUCUUGAUCUUGCAGAGAGAAUGCUAGUGUUUGAUCCAUGCAAACGCAUAACUGGUAUGUAUGACCUUUGCAUAAUAAAAAGUUUACUCUUCUGUUUUUCUCAUCCAUUUCGCUGAUUAGAAGCAUCACUUUUUUUUUUCCCUUUUUUGGUGUUUAUGAAGUUGAGGAGGCACUGAAUCAUCCAUUUUUGUCAAGUCUACACGAGAUCAACGAAGAGCCCACUUGUCCAUCUCCUUUUAUUUUCGAUUUCGAGCAAAUUUCCUUAAAUGAAGAAGAUAUAAAAGGGCUCAUAUGGGCAGAGUCUUUGAACUUCAAUACAGAUGUUAUGCUUGAGUAAUCUUACCAACAUUUUUAAUCUUUACUUCGUGUCUAUUAUUUGGUUGGUUAGCUUCCUGAUCAGAACAUUGAUUUCUGAUCACUUGUGAUUUAUGUGAGAAAAAAUUCUCUCUAAAGAGAGAAAUCUAGGAGAUGGGUUCUCCUUCCUAUAUUGUGAGAGUGGAGUCUGUUUGUCUAUUGGUUUAAUAUUGAAGGUUGCUGGAUUCAUUCUGUUCAAGGACCCAGUACUAAACAAUGUUGGUUUGCAUAAAAAGAAGGCUACAUUCUCCUAGCCUGUGCUGUGCAUGUUUUGUGGUUAUGGUUAUGUAUAUUGUAUACUAUAAUCAAUCAAAUACAAAGGAAAAACCAAAUUGAAAAGAAAGUGAGUGCUUUUUAUGUGCCUUUAUAGGUCUGAAGUUUUUGGUAUAUCGAUAGGCUUGAUAGUUGCUUCUAUGUCCAGUUAUGGCAGAAUGUUCAAAUUGGUACAUACACUUCAACAAAAACUGCUCUGUUUGAUCCUUUUUCGAUUGCAGCAAAAUGUAGGCUAAACGUUUUUAGUUUAAUAGCAUUCCAUUCUUUGUUUUUUAUAUUGUUACAGCAUAUUCACUAAUGUUAAAUAAUCUACAACACUUACAAAACCUUGAUUAUUAUAAAAUCAAGUGCUAAACAAGUUCAUUAACAGCCUUACCUACGCCUUAUUUUGGGGAGUUCAUUUUAUGCAUCAAACCAAUUCGAAAAAAUGGUGAUAAUCUUUUUAAACGACAAUUGAUUAUCGUCUUGAUAUGUAAGUAAACCCAUACAGCAGAGUAAGCAAAUUUUAUUUCAAAAAAUUAUUUAAUUUGUCAUUUUUAGAAGUAUAAAAUGGAUUUAAUGGUAAUAAUUUUUUAAACAGCAAUUGAUUAACCACUAAGUUUUAUUUCUGAAAGUUAUUUAAUUUGUGAUUUUUAGAAGUAUAAUAUAAAUAGCAUAAAAUUAAAGAUAAACAUUUGAAAUUAAUAUACCAAAAUAAAAUGCUACCAACAUGUGGAAAAGCCUAUAUAACCCAAAAAUUAAAUGGAUGACGUGGCCCUUCAUUGGUUACAAACUUACAAUUACUUCCAGCAUUUCGGGAUUAGACAAAAAAAUUCCACGCAGCAUUUUUAUUUUUAUUUUUCAAAAAUUACACUUCCAUAGCUUUUUGCAUUUUCAUGUCAGUCGCGGAGGAAGGACAAGAUCAGUUACAGACUUACAGUUAGGAGCAAGGGCCUACAUAGAGAAUGAGACUUCCAGUCAUAGGGAAGGCUCUACAGAGCCGAAGAAGAAAUCAUCUUUCGCUGUCGCCGCCGCUACUCUUCACCGCACUUGCACGCUCGUUCUCGCAACUUCUCUCACAUUGUGACCGGUUCUUUUCUUUACUCAACAUCUCUGGGUUUUCUCUUCUCCCUCUCUCUCUCUCUCUCUCUCUCUCUUCACAUAUAUGCUAUUGUAAUUCAUUGAUUCGAUUUUUGUUUUAAAAUGAAUUGAUAGACCUACUUUUGGCAUUGCGUUUGAUAUCGAUGGCGUCAUUCUUCGAGGGGAAUCUCCCAUUGGCGGCUCUCCUCAAGCUCUCAAACGAUUAUACGAUCCCUCUGGUACAGUAGAUGAUACGCAUUUAAUCUGCAAUUGUGGCGCUUUUUAUAUAGGUUUAUUUUUUGAUCAGUUAUGCAAAAUUGUUGUUACUUUGCUCAGCCUUUUAUUAUUAUUAUUAUUAUUUCCUUUGUUUGUUUUCCCUUUCUUCUAUAACUGUCUUUGUUUAUUUUGUGGACAGGUGCUUUGAAAAUUCCUUACAUUUUCUUGACGAAUGGUGAGUUUUCUGUUGACAUUAACAGUCCUUCAACGCUGUUGUUAGCAUAUGGCAUUUGUUGUUUUUGAAUGAUGUGUUACUAGAGGUUAUAGCAAAUUUGGAUCUUAGAAUCAGGCGUUUAUUUAAAUAGUGGAAUGUGUUGUUGUAUGAGCAGCAAUUAGCGUCUUUUAUCGGUUAUUAUUGCUUCAAUUUUGACAGGAGGUGGUUUUCCUGAAUCUAAAAGAGCCUUGGAGUUGAGCAAACUUCUAGGUUUGGAUAUUUCACCUUUGCAGGUACUUCUGCAAAGAUUAUUUAAAAAAAAAUUUUUUUUUUUUUUUUUUUCAUCUUUAGCAUCGUUCUUGAUAGUUUUAGGUUUUGCUGGUCAUGAUGGAGCUCUGAUUUUAUGGUAGGUUGUACAGGGCCAUACACCUUUUAAGCAACUGGUGAAAAGGUAUGCAUUUAAAAUAAGUCUGGAUGUCAAGUUGUUAGACAAGUACAGUUCUAUGCUAACAAAGAAUGUAACAGUGUCAAGUAUAGUGACAAUUAUUCUCAUAUUAUUAUUAUUAAAUAAAAAAAAUGAGAAGAAAUUGCUUGAAUGCCUGGCUAACAGCUUAUUUCUUCAUAGAACUAGAGGACAUCUUUUACAUGUUUCCAUGAGAGAAAGAAUGUUGGUUUAUACUGUAAUAAACAGUAUGCCUCCAAGCUUCUAUGAAUUCACCAUCCUUGGCUAAAGCUUCAUAUCCGUUUUUACCGCUUGACCUGCAUAUCUGGGCCAAGGUAUUUGAUAGUAUUUGCAUUUUACAAUUUUACACUUGAAGAAGCUCCUUAGUUGCUGUGGUACACCGACUGAAUGGAAAAUGCUAGAUUAUCAUGUUUCAUACCAAUUAGUUGUGUGGAUAAGUGAUUGUCUAUCAGUAAUCAACAUGCAUAAUAACUGGCAUGAGUAAAAGUGUGUGAAUUGGAGUGCUCAUGCCACAUCUUUCUGAGUAGGAUUUUCAUUGUUUUUAUGUAUUUAUUCAUAAUAAAAGUUGUGCAUUAUUGCAGAUUUGAGAAUGAACUUAUUGUUGCGGUGGGAAAAGGAGAGCCUGCUCAAGUAAUGUCUGAAUAUGGAUUCAAGUAAGCUUUUUUGAGACAUCUGAUUUGCUUUUGACGAAAUUCAUCAGAAAUCUGCAAUUUGUCCUGAGUUUAAGCUCUUAAAUUGCUGUUCUGCUUAUUAAUCUUAUAUGCAGAAAUGUUCUCUCAAUAGAUGAGUAUGCAUCUUAUUUUGAUGGCAUUGAUCCGCUUGCUCAAUAUAAGACAUGGACAAGAAAGCAGGAUGCUAAAUGCAGUAGUGCUUCAAAGCAGAUAACUACAAGGGACAGUGUCCACUCACAAAGAGUUCAAGCAGCAUUUAUUGUUAGUGAUUCUGUUGAUUGGAGCAGGGACAUUCAGGUUUCACGAAAUCUAUGGCUUAUCUGAUAAUUUAUGAAUUUAUUUCGUGAAGAGUUAGGAUUUUUUUUUUUUUUCCGGUCGAUAGCUGGUCAACUCUUGCAAGGUACAUUGAGUUUUUUCCCCUUCAGAACAUCCUUGGGAUGAGUGAUUAAAAUCCAAAAUUUGACUUUCUUUGCAUCAUGGUGUCACAGUUGUGUUAAUAAUACUACGGUGAUAUACAUUUUCUGAAAGAAACUAAUCAGUAUGUUAGAGGCCUGAAUCAGGGUUUUAAAUGUCAACCAAUUCAUAUUAUAUUAUGACAAAGGCAUGUAAUUGCAUGCAUAUUGGUUCACAUUGGCUCAUGUGGAAUAACUUUGCAGCAUUAGCAUUGGCUGAUUAGGAUUGUUAUGCUGCCAGUUCCAGUCAUUUUGCUAAACUAUUUUAACAAGAGCUGCUCAACUAUGAAAGCCACAGCCCUACAUUUUUUGAAGCAACAUUUGAUAUCAUGACACUGUUGAAAAUUUUUAGCAUACAACUCGCUCUGAGUAGAAUAAGAUGCACAGAGAGAGAGAAAAGCAAGAGGAAUUUGAAGUGAUUCAGCAAUCUGUGAUUUCUUUUUUAACUGUGGAAGUGAAUGUAACAAGUACCUAUGUAUAUGAUACUGGAAAUUUCCUUUUUACAAGAAGCAAUAGGGGAGACUCAGAAUUGUAAUAUGAGAAACUCACCAUUGCAAAAAUAAACCGCAUCACCUGAACCUCCCUAGGCUAACUUAACUAUACUCCUAAAAUGCAAUAUCUUUGAAUAUGUGCUGCAAACUCAGUAGAACUCUAACCUUGAAUGCUACUACAAUUUAAAAGCACAUCAUAGCCUUACUGAGCCAAUAUUACUGCUUUGAGCUUACAUAUCUUGGUGUUCCAGAGAGAUGAUUCAAUACUGGCUACUCUUCCAGGGAAAUUACAAUUGUCUGGCUUGUCUGUUUUCUAUAGAUAUAGAAUCGGGGGGUAGUUGUUUGUUUCUGCUAUACUAAUUUGGUGAAUAGAUGACUUCAGUUCAGUUUUCGUUGAUAGACUAUCAUCAUCUUUAUUAACUGAAAUUAACCAUUUGAAGGCGCUUUUAAAGUUGCUUCCUCUGUUAUUGUUUUCAAUCCAUUUUUGAGCCUUAAAUAUGUUAUGCAUGAAUUAUUUGUCAUUUCUAUACUUGCAUUCUGGUCCUUUUAGAAUUUCUUAAACCAGAUAUUAUCAUUGUCUAAUUCUUAAAGGUGCGAACCUGAAUUGAUUUAUUGUGGAUAUUGGUGUUAGGUUCUGUGUGACAUUUUAAGAACUGGAGGUCUUCCUGGAAGGGAGAUUGGACACCAGCCACAUCUAUAUUUUGCAAAUGAUGACCUUGCAUACCAGGUUGAUCGCUAUUUUUGGUCCAUUUUAUUCCUCUUCUCUUUUGUAAUCGAGUAGUUCUUGAAGUACUAAUGUACUGAUGAGGUGCCACUAAAGGUAGGCUACUUUUCCUUCAGAACGCCUUGGUAUGGGAGCUUUCAGAAUUGCAUUAGAAUCCAUCUUCAACAGGUAAGGCAAAGUGCAGAUAAAAUCUAUUUUGGAUUGAAGCAAUAUGAGAAUGCCAUUACACAUGUCACCUUGUCCAACGUAAAGAGAAGGCUAUGUUUAUUAUUUCUUUCCUUUCUUCCCUUUGUUCUAUUGGGUUGUGACCGUACAUCUCAACUGACUUAUACUGUAGUCUAUUUUUCAUAGGAGUCAUUUGCUUGGACAAGAUUAGUGGAAACUAUAGUCUAAUAUUUUAUACUGCACUAAAUCCAAAAUUAGUUGUGAUGUCAUGAACUUUCUUGAUGACAACAUUUUCAAAUACGCAGAAUUCACACUAAUGCUCUGGAGUAUACAUCUUUUGGAAAGCCAAAUCCAUUUGUAUUCAAGAAUGCUGAAACUGUCCUAAAGCAACUUGUUCCAUCUCUUCAUCAUAGCACUAAUCCUGUGGAUCAUGUGAAUGCUGAGCGAACUCAUCAUUUCAAUACAUUAUAUAUGAUAGGAGAUAAUCCUUCGGUUGACAUUAGAGGUGCACGGCAGGUUUGUCUCUGAGACUAGGAAUUUAGUUCCAUAUACUUAUUAUUUUUUAUAGUGAUCAUAACGUAUGGGUAUGGCCUUAUUCUUCUUCUGGCAUUUCAGGCUGGAAAGCCCUGGUUUUCUAUCUUGACAAGGACGGGAGUUUUCAGGGGAACAGAAAACGAUUCCAAGUUUCCAGCAGAUCUGGUAGGCAAUUGAGAAAGUUGAAGCAGUUGCAUUACAAUCUUUUCAUAAUUCUAUAAUUUAAUCUAUGGUUCCCAUUAAUUUAAUCUUUCCUCUUGAAAAAAAUAAAAUACUGGCCACUGUUGUACUGAGCUACAUGCCCUUUGCUUUGCUUCGCUUCUUUGCAGGUUGUUAACACUGUGGAAGAUGCUGUGGACUAUAUUUUGAGAAGGGAGUGUAACUAAGUCUUCUUUGUGUUUCGGAACUCAGUUAUUCAUUACCGAAGAGAAGAGAGAUUGGAGGGUAAACGGUGUGGUAAUGAGAUCUUAUAAGUGCAACACUGAAACAUUCUUUGGCAUUAUGGUUGAAAUUUUUUUCUGAAACAACACUAUUUUAGGUGCUAUUAAGAAAAUUAGUUUUGGAGUGAUGUUUAGUUGUUUUGUAGCUUUUAUAAUAGUAAUGUAGUAGUAUAUGUGGAAUUCAGCUUUGAAACAAACUUAAUUGCCUUUUACCCAUGUUUUGAAUUUUUUUUUUCCCCCAAUAACAUUUCAAACGAAAAUGCCAAACACUCCCUUAAGAGUGGCCAAAGUUCAAAUAAACAAUUAGCAAAACGACAUCAAAUUAUUGAUUCUUAGGCAUAAAGAAUUUCGGUCGUUUAAUUGAACUUUUGUCAAUUGUGAGCAUAUACGUUUGCUUGAUGCCAUCAAAUCAAGAUUAGGAUAGAGAAGUGAGGGAGACAGGCAGUGAAGGGCAAAAAUGCAAAUGAAGAGGAGAAGACAAUAGUGACAUUGUGAUUAGUUCACAGUUCACACCACAUUCUUACACAAUAGCUCUAAAUCAUUUUAUUUAAUUUCCACAUGGUUUUCUAACAUUCAAAGCUUGCUUUUACAAACUUACCAGUCUGUCUACAAAAACCUUGAGCACAAGGAUUUAAACAAUAAAAUUCCAGAAUCUGAGUGAGAAUACUUCUGGUAACUCAGUCUGUCUAUUAAACUGCUCAAACAGUGCAAAACAUAAAAAAUGUUCCAGAACUAAUGCAAUGCAAUAAAAAGAACAGAGCAAGAAGACCUGAGCAAACUCUCCCAAGUCGUUGAGAUUUAGAAUUUUAAAACUUGUUUAGGUUGACUCCCUAAUUUCCCAAGUGCCUUGUCCAAAGCUGUGUGAAAAUUGUCAAAAGGUACCAGCUCCAUUCUGCAAAGGCAGUUAUGUCAACUAAUGAAAUAUGAAAAAUCAAUACUACAAAACAAAGUAAUGUUAUAGAGAAUGAAAGAACGCGUGCAAGUGAAUUUGCACGUGGGAGGACAUACUCGUAUUUCAACUUCCCUUCUUGUGCAAGGGAAAGAAGAUAAUCUAUCAUAUUUCUGCAUUCUUUUGCUUUUUCUGAAGUCAACCAUUUUUGCAACCAGAACCCCCUCAGGGUAAGAUCCUGUAAACAAAUAAACAUGGACACAAGCAAGAACUUAUACACACACUUGCUGUUUCUGAAUUUGAAAGGAAUUGAAAUUAAAGAGUGCAGAUUGAGGCACAAAAUGACUCAGCAAUUCAAACCCAAUGCUCAUAUCUCCUUUCCUCCCAGAGGUAAAGAAGAUUGAGAUCAUGUGAUUUCAACUGGGCUCAGUUCCAUCUUACGGAGAGAGUUAAGCUCUGUUUUGUACAAAUGAAUUCUUGUGACAUUUGAUAUAAAAAAAAUAUUCAUUUCACUCUGAUAAAUUCAUUAUUAUAAAUUUCCAAAAGACCAUACCAAAUUCAAUCAUUUAUAUAUGAAUUCCAUAUUUCGAUUAAUUUAUUCCAAACAAGGAUCAGUUAGAUCACGCAGAUCAUCCUCCUGCAGAAAUUUUAUUUGUUCAAAAAGGAUACUCAUGUAGAAACCCCAUAUCCUGCUAUGCAAAAGUUCAUAUCCAUUAUGUUGGCACCUUCUUUUCCAAUUUCUAUCGAGUUUAUGUGUGAUUAAGGAAAAAGAACUCAACACCAAGCUGUCAUUUUCAACCGAUUUCUUAACUGGUACUUCUUUGUUUUACUGGUUUGCAUUAAAGAUCAAACAUCUUAAAUAGAUGAUGCAUUAAGUUUAUAUAGGCGCCAUGCCUUCAUUACAGAUAACAACCAUUAGAUCAGUGCACUGCAACAACAAGAUGAACAAAAAAUAAAACAAUGUUUACCUUAAAAAUGAAGGAGGAUGUUGAUACAGUUACAGGUUUCUUAGACAUUCCCCCAUAAGUUACCAUUGUUCCUCCUUGCCUGAAUAUGAGAGCACAUUAGCAGGCUAGGACAUAUUGCAUCUUUAACUAAAAGGAAUGUUUAAAUUUCUAGUGUAUUUAUCACUGGAUGUCACACCUUAAGAAUUUGAGAACCAAAGAAGCAGCAUUGCCACCAACACAGUUGAAUCCCAAAGCAGGUUCUGGUAAAUUAGUCUAGCAUAUGCCAAUGCAAUGAAGACCGGUAAAGUUCAGUACCAAUUGCUCAAAAUCUAAGAAUAAAUCAUAUUCUGGAAUUUGAAUUUUAAGGAUGCCAAACACAUACGAGAAAAGAAUAAACACCUCCUAAUUCAGAUAACAUCAUAUAUUCAAACAUAAGGAGUCCAUAGCUCAUGAUACCAGGAGACCCUUGACAUUCUUCACUUCCAAUUGGCUCUCAGUAAACACUUCAUCAGCACCUAGUUUCUUUAAAGUUUCCUUUGCUUCAUCUGAACCAGGCCUAAAUUAAGCAAAAGACAGUAAGGAAAAAGUGUGCUGGCAGCCAUUUAUUAUUUUAAAAAAAUAAAUAAAUCGAAAGUGGCUUGCAUUGCUAACAGCAAAACAUAUGUUCUCAAAAAACACAACUCAAGAGAUGAUAUUGGAUAAUUAAAAUAAGCCUUCCAUGUCGGAUCAUCAAUGUUAGAAAUUUGUCUUAAGCUUAAUCACAUAGAGUAUCUCCCUCAAUUUAUUUAUUACAACUGUUUCCACUUCAUUAUAUGUCGAUACAUAAAUCACCAUGAUGAGGCAAUUAUGCUUUUCCACUAUCAGUCUUGAAUCUUUCUUUAUCCAUUUAUUUCUUUUAUGAUUGUCAAGGCUCCAAUAGACGUCAUUGGAAAUGUGAUGAGGCACAAGCAACUUUGAUCUUCCAUCAACAACUUAGAGUCUCAGAAGGUAGAAAAGGAAAACCUCUAUGAGGGUGCCCAUGAACUCUAAAGUUAGCAAUAUAACUUGAAAAAGAUUGCUGGCUAAAUUAAUCAAAAUUGAUAUACAGUAGAGCAUUAUAAAGGCUCAAUAUAAGAAGAUAAAAACUUAAAAGCAUGAUUGAAAAAGGAUCCCAACUCCCAAAAUAUAUGAUAAUAGUAGAUCUCCAAAAAUAAUAAUAAUAAUAAUAAUAAUAAUAAUAAUAAUAAUAAUAAUAAUAAUAAUAAUAAUAAUAAUAAUAAUAAUAAUAAUAAUAAUAAUAAUAAUAAUAAUAAUAAUAAUAAUAAUAAUAAUAAUAAUAAUAAUAAUAAUAAUAAUAAUAAUAAUAAUAAUAAUAAUAAUAAUAAUAAUAAUAAUAAUAAUAAUAAUAAUAAAGUGACCAAGUGCUUUUUGACAAUUGUGUAAAAAAAAAUUACACUAUAUUAGUAAGGCAAGAAGGCGAAUAUUCAAGCAAAUAAAAGGAUAGACUGGAUGAAGAUGAAUAUGUUUAUAGGAAUGUGGAAGUGCUGCCUAACACCUAUUGAGAAAAAAUUCAGAGAAAUAAGAUUGAAAAGAAGAUAUGCACAGUAGACCCAACAAAUGCACCAACAUGAGAGUUGGGCUCAUUGAAGUUGUCACAAACCUUUUCAAAUGUAGCAUCGAACGAGGCGGAAUAAAAAGAAAAAGAAAGAAUAGAAACUGAUUUUGGAUUAGGAUUAGUUAAGUUGAGUAGAUUAGAGUAAUCUCUUGAAGCAACUUCGGCCUUUUAAUAAGCUCACAAAAUUAGCCAGCAACUUAAUAUGAAAACACAAAUAUUCAAUUUAAGCGAGCUAGACUACAAUAUUUCACUUCAAGCUGAGAAUUUUGGGAAGCCUAAAUAAAUGAAGAGCAAAGCAGACAUGCAUCAACAAUUGAAGACAGUGAGAGAAAUUGAAAUCGGAAGUUAUAUGAAUUAAUUGAAAGUUUCAAACAGCACCUGUCCCUUAAUAUAUUAAUGCUACGGAUGCCGCGAAAUUUUGCAAUCUGAAUGACACACUGCCCAACAAUACUUGUAGCCCCAUUUUGCACUACAGAAUCUCCUGCUUGUAUGUACCUUUAUCAGAUAAAAGAAAAAAAAUUGAAAAAUAGAGGACAUCAGAAUUUAAUAAGGCAGUACCUGAAUUUAGAGAUGUGAAGUCUUCAAGCAUUCUUAAAGCAGUUAAAGGAUUAACAGUGACUGUUGCAGCAUAUUCCAUGGGAGACUCUUUAUUGAUUUUGUGCCAGACACUCUGAUCUUGUACAAUGUAAGUCUGCCACGUCCCUAAUGCAAUAAAGAUUUACAAUUACUAUCGUCUAGUAAAAUCAAGCGAAGAAAAAAAAAAGAGGGAGUUCCAGUUCAAAUUCCCAUCAGCAAAUGACGUUCAAUGUUUGGCCAAAAAAAUGCGUUUCGCCUAUAAUUACCUAUCUAAAAAAUGUCAUCAAACAUGCAAAAUAAAUAUAGUAUUAAUAACAUCUGUCUGUUCCUCAGUUGCAAAGAGGAUAUACAAUUUCCUGGACUUAGUUUACUAUUAAGUUAUCGUAAUUUGACAUUCAAGUCAAGCAGCAAUACCGUGUAAAAACUAAAGAGAAAUAGCAAAAGAACUUAAAUAUUAAGAAAGCUUAACAUUGCAACAACAAUGACCAAAAAUUAAAAUUGCAGCCAUCAAAGUAAUCAAAAAGGCACGCACCAAAAGAGGGUGGAGAUGGAAUGACCCAAUCACCAGGUGACAGAUCCUUAACUGCAGAGCCUACAGAAUGCACUUCUCCUACACCCUCAUAUCCUCCAACUGCAGGAACUGACGGCCUCACAGGGUAAACUCCUACGAGGACUCAAAAACAACAUUACCCGAUUGACUUCAAAGCAAAGGAACAUAAACUCGCCUCAAACCGAUUACUAAUUUUUCAAAAUUAAGCUAGAAAGUAAGAAACUUUACCUUCAAUUCGAUUGAUAUCAGACGGAUUAAUCGGAGAAGCCAACAUUUUAACGCACACAUCGUUAGCUUUUACUUCCACCGGUGGUACCUCUACCACUCUGUACCAAAUACCCACUAAUAAAAAUAAACAUAAUUUGAUGGAAAUAUAUAAUAGGUGCAUGUGUAUAUACGUAUGAGUGGGUUGGUACCUGGUGACGGAGUCAGGAGGGCCCUGCUGGUCGUAGACGACGGCCUUGGAUGGCGGAGACAUGAAGGCGGAGAAUGUCCUGACUAUUUGAGCUUGGGCACGAGGAAUAUGGCCCCACUUGAGAUUGAAGAGAAGGGAUGAGAAUGGUUCAUUGAGAACUUUCAUGGCUGUUGACCUCAUCAUCAUCAUCGACGCCAUUUCUGUAUCUUUACUCUGUCUGGCAGCCCCUACUCGAAAGUAGAAGGAGGUUUGUCGAAUGGCCUCAGCAUUGAUUGCUUUUUCAACGGUGUUGUAUAAAGUUUUGGUCUUUUUAUUUAUUUAUUUAUUUCCCUCUUGUUGUUGGAACGUUGUCGUUUAUUGUAAGUGCCAAGCUCUAAUGGAAAUAAUAGGAACUCCACACUUGAUAGAGAGACAUGAUAAAUUCUCAACCAUGACUUGAGGAACAAAAACAUAAAAAUAAAAAAACACAAAUCAUUUUCCGGAAACAAAUUCGGCCUUAAAAAAAUUAACUGAAAGUAUGUUUAUUUAUUUUUAAAAAAUUUACCUUUUAAGUUAUAAUUUUUUGUUAUUCCAUAAAACAAUAAUAAUCAAGAUUGACGUAGACUAACGAGUGAUAUUGUCGUAUUUUAUUAUAAAAGAAAGGUUUAAUCAUUAAUUUUACCCUGAACUUUUCGAUUAGUUGCACUUUUAUCCUUAAUCGAUCUUUGUAUUAUAGGCAUUUUAAACUUAUCAACUUAAUUGCAAUUAUACCUAAUUUGCUUUUAGGAUGCAGUUACACUCUAAAAA